rnacentral:rRNA from 1 species
CAUGGCGCGUSAUCACCGUGCAGUCGAACGAUGAAGCCAGCUUGCGGGGUGGAUUAGUGGCGAACGGGUGAGUAACACGUGAGUACCUGCCCUUAACUCUGGGAUAAGCCUGGRAAACUGGGUCUAAUACCGGAUAGGAGCGUCCACCGCAUGGUGGUGUUGRAAAGAUUUAUCGGUUUUGGAUGGACUCGCGGCCUAUCAGCUUGUUGGUGAGGUAAUGGCUCACCAAGGCGACGACGGGUAGCCGGCCUGAGAGGGUGACCGGCCACACUGGGACUGAGACACGGCCCAGACUCCUACGGGAGGCAGCGGUGGGGAAUAUUGCACAAUGGGCGCAAGCCUGAUGCAGCGACGCCGCGUGAGGGAUGACGGCCUUCGGGUUGUAAACCUCUUUCAGUAGGGAAGAAGCGAAAGUGACGGUACCUGCAGAAGAAGCACCGGCUAACUACGUGCCAGCACCGGAGAUAUAU